rnacentral:rRNA from 1 species
UUGUCCUACGGGCCGCAGCCGUCGGGCCUCUUCCCCCCUUUUCGCCCGCCUGAUGGAGCAACGCCGCGUGGGUGAAGAAGGUCUUCGGAUCGUAAAACCCUGUUGUUAGAGAAGAAAGUGCGUGAGAGUAACUGUUCACGCUUCGACGGUAUCUAACCAGAAAGCCACGGCUAACUACGUGCCAGCAGCCGCGGUAAUACGUAGGUGGCAAGCGUUAUCCGGAUUUAUUGGGCGUAAAGAGAACGCAGGCGGUCUUUUAAGUCUGAUGUGAAAGCCUUC